GCAGAGUGCUGACGUGGAGGAGACCAGGGUGCCUUGGUGGUGGGAUCCUCUGAGUGUACACACCUGCCUUGUUUAAUUUAUUAGUGUGAGUGUGUGAUAGUGUGCUGCACUUGUGUCUUGGUGUAUUUUCUUCUUUUUUUUGAGUUUGUGUGUGGCAUCCCUGCCCUCCACUGGAUAAAAGCAAAGCAGCAGCUACUUUGGUGUGGGAUUCCACAGCUGUGUUACAGAGAUGGAGGAAGAGUUACAGGAACUAAGGGACUUGAUCGCGCAGCUGAAAGCAGACAAUGAGAGGCUGCGUCAGGAGAGGGCUGUUGGGUCAGAUGCAGAGUGCUGACGUGGAGGAGACCAGGGUGCCUUGGUGGUGGGAUCCUCUGAGUGUACACACCUGCCUUGUUUAAUUUAUUAGUGUGAGUGUGUGAUAGUGUGCUGCACUUGUGUCUUGGUGUAUUUUCUUCUUUUUUUUGAGUUUGUGUGUGGCAUCCCUGCCCUCCACUGGUAAGCCUCAGCUCUGGAUACCUUUUUUUGCAUACUUUUACACUGAUAUUUAUCACUGUGCUUUUAAAUGUUGUUUUAAUUAAUAAAUUGUCAAUUUAUUUUAUCAUUGAACCUCGUUUCUGUAUUGAGUAUAAC